GGAGGAUUCAAGCGUUAUCCGGAUUUAUUGGGUUUAAAGGGUGCGUAGGCGGUUUGAUAAGUUGGAGGUGAAAUGUUAGGGCUUAACCCUGAAACUGCCUCCAAUACUGUUGGACUAGAGAGUAGUUGCGGUAGGCGGAAUGUAUGGUGUAGCGGUGAAAUGCUUAGAGAUCAUACAGAACACCGAUUGCGAAGGCAGCUUACCAAACUAUAUCUGACGUUGAGGCACGAAAGCGUGGGGAGCAAAC
rnacentral:rRNA from 1 species